UACGGAGGGUGCAAGCGUUGUUCGGAUUUACUGGGCGUAAAGCGCGCGCAGGUGGGUGUGCAAGUCGGAAGUGAAAUCUUGAGGCUCAACCUCGAGGCUGCUCCCGAAACUGCACGUCUAGGGACUGGUAGAGGCUGUUAGAAUUCCCGGUGUAGCGGUGGAAUGCGUAGAGAUCGGGAAGAAUACCCGUGGCGAAGGCGGCCAGCUGGGCCAGGUCCGACACUGAGGCGCGAAAGCGUGGGGAGCAAACAGG
rnacentral:rRNA from 1 species